UACAGAGGGUGCAAGCGUUGUUCGGAAUUAUUGGGCGUAAAGGGCGCGUAGGCGGUGCCACAAGUCACCUGUGAAAUCUCCGGGCUUAACUCGGAGCCUGCAGGCGAAACUGUGGUGCUGGAGUGUGGGAGAGGUGCGUGGAAUUCCCGGUGUAGCGGUGAAAUGCGUAGAGAUCGGGAGGAACACCAGAGGCGAAAGCGGCGACCUGGACAAGCACUGACACUCAACUACGAAAGCGUGGGGAGCAAACAGG
rnacentral:rRNA from 1 species